AGCGCAGCGAAGUGUCUGAUCACAUUCCUCACUGUCAUCAGCUCCAACACAUUUAUUUGCUCGUGCGUGUUGGAGGGCCAGCGAUCUGCCACCGUAUGGGACAAGAACAUGCCCCCCCACCCCAACAGCGACACACCCGUAAACACAGACACGUGUGACGCAGGGCGUCCGAUGGGAACUCCGUGUGAGAGGGUGCAGGGGUUCCCCCAGUGAGUGAGGUCCCCGCCCACUGAGGGGGGAACCCUCAACAUACGUUCCUUCUGACAUAUUGGGUGCACCCGGAGGCGGAUGAACCAACGUUGCAGGCGCCUCGUGUGCAGCAACCCUAGCGGCACCACAGUGUGGGCUGCAGUCAUCAUGCCCAGAAGUUUCAUGAUUAACAGGGCUCUCAUGAUCCUGCGUGGUUGCACGCGGGAGAUCACCGCGAUGAGAUCUGCUGCUCUCACCGGCGACAAACGUGUACUCAUCACGGAGGCGUUCAGCUCCACCCCGAGAAACACAAUUGACUGGGACGGAAGGAUGGAGCUCUUCUCCCAGUUUAUAGAAAACCCCAGGGUUGACAGAUGCUCUGUUAACUUCCUGGUCUGUUCCGACGCCUCGUCCUCGGACCGAGCGCACAGGAGCAGGUCGUCCAUGUAAAAUAAAACUCUCAUUCCCGCUGUGCGCAGCGGCUGCAGCGCGGUCUCCAGACAUUUGGAGAAAGUGUGCGGGGCUAGCGAGUAGCCGAAAGGGAGGCGAUUGAAUUCUUAAUGAACUCCCUUAAAUGAGAAGCGCAGGAACUUCAGGUGCCUGGGAAUUACCGGGAUGUGGAAGUAUGCGUCUUUCAGGUCUAUUGACGUGAACCAGUCCCCGGAACGCACAUAUUCCAGGACUUGCCUCAUUGUCAACAUGCGGAAAUGCAUCACUGCUAUGGAGCAGUUGAACAGGGAAAGGUCGAGAAUCGGUCUCAUUCCUCCCAACUUCUUCGGUACUACGAAUUAGCGGGAGUAGAAACCCGAGAGCUCUUGUCCGCGAGGGACUCGGGAAAUAGCGUCCUUGGACAGAAGUUCCCGCAGCUCCAGCUCUAGGGUCUGAGACUGAACUUGUGAUAUGAACGUCGUCUCCACGAUCCCGUUGAAGGGAGGAGGAGCGGCCUGAAAAUGGAGUGAGUGACCGUAAUGAACGGUCUCCGAUAUCCAUUUGCUCAUGGCACAAAGGCGGCGCCAUUCGUGCGCGCGUUCCGACAGGGGACGCGUGUUCGCGGUCACGUGAGUAAUGUCUGAAGGUUGAGUAUGCGCCCUUACCGCCGUCGCUCGCCCCAGAGGACUGGGGGCGACCCAUGGAGGGCUGUGCUCGAAAGGGCGAGUGUGAACCAGCUGGAAGAGGCUGAUCCGCACCGCGGGGUGUGGAGACCAAAGGAGCAGGGCGAGUGGGAGCUGGGCCCAUACACGGGGACGGCAAAGUGCCCGCGGACGGAGUCGCGCACUGUGCCGCCGCUCGUGACCGCGCCAUGACGUCCCGUCCCACCCAGCGUUGUGGGGAAAACGGGAUGAGCUGGGCCUGGCCGGAGGCUGGGGCCGGUGCGCGAAUGGAGCGCACCUUUACAGCUGGCCGUGAGACAUGGCUGACUGCGGGAAUACGUAUAUGUGCCGCAGUGCUUGAUGUGGGGAACGUGUGUGAAGAGUCGGCAGAGGACUCUGCAGAGGACUGUUGGAUUGAGCUCUUUAAGUGACGUUUUUUGGGUUUUAUUUCAAAACCAACAUCAACAGCAGCAUCAACAGCAUUACAUGCAUGUACACACACAUUCCCCCCAAAGAGUCCUUUCCGUGGCUGCUUCCGGCGAGGCUCCUGCGCCUGCGACUGCCACGACGGCGUCUGCUGGCUCCGUCGAACCCGUUGGUCGCCAACUCGCUGGUCUCGCUGAGGUGGAGCCGAAGUAGGAGGCCGGCUCCGUGGAGCGGGCUGCACAAAACGGGCACGAGGCCUGGGGGGUCAAGGCCAGGCCAGCGUGAUGAGCCCCAAGACAGACCUCACAUUUGGCGUGCAGGUCGCCGCUGGAAAUGGAGCCCGUCUGGCAGGCCUGGCACGUUCUGGCGUCGUUGGACAUAGCUGGUGAGUCGUAAUCUUCUUGUGAUAAUUGCUCUUUAAGGGAGCUCUCAGGCUUGGCAUGAAGAGGCGAACAGUGGAGUCGCUCCACUUAUAUACCCACAAGGGGGCCCACUAUUAGUGGGCGUACAUUUAAGCUCUUCAUGAUUGGCUGAUGCGGAGAUCAUCCUUCCAAUAGCAGGUCGCUUAAGUGCUAAGACUAGACGAAAUAGAACUGAAAUAAGUCAUGAAAUAAUAAACAUUUCUAUUGCUUAAUUAAUUAUUAAACCACUUUAGAUAGAACAUCAUUGUAGAUAAUUGUAAUUAUAACCAACUCGUGAAGAAUCAUUUAAUGAGACAAAAUAAGAUUAAUUGUAUUAAAAAGGGAACAGUCUUUCGCAUUAGACCUUGGAGUUGCAGCCGGAUGUCAAUAGUGGCAGAAGAGAUGUCAGGUUAUGGAAUUGUUUUGACUAUCUUCUUCUUCUGGCUCUUGGAGAGUACAGACGCUUUUUUUUCUCCUCUCUCUCCCUCUUCAUCCCAAGGCUCUUUGUCCUGUCUGUGUGCGCAGUGCUUUCUGCAUUUUUUCUGGAAACUGGAAAUGAUUAGAAAUGGAUCUGGUCAGUUGGUCUCAACGCGAUUGACAAAAUGUUUUCAACGAUGAGAACGGGAGAAGGGGCUCCCAGAUGCCCCUCUGGGACAGAGCCAGCUGGGCAUAUCAUGGACUCCUGGAAAAAGUGGAACCUGAUAUGCCUCUCUCAAAUGUCUGUAGAGGAUUUUGAAGAUGUCUGGAUAUUCAUCGUUUUGGUGUUGGGAUUCUUGCUGUUUGGCAUGAGCGGUUACCCGGCUUACCGGAAAAUUAACAAGCUUUCGAGGAAUAUUGGCUCAAUCCCGGAGCUCAGGGAUGGAAUGCAUCGCACUGUGAAUGCACAAACUCAUAGACUUGUCGAGAUGAGUCGUAAGCUUGGAACUUUGGCUGAGAUUCAGGCUCUGGCACAGAAGGUGGAUUCCAUCAAGGAGAGAGUUGACGAAUCAGCACGGAUUAUGCCAUUAUUGGAUCUAGAGGGGUUGAAGACCAACAGAACUCUUAAGGCAGAGAGGAAAUUAUCUCUGUCUGUCCCCAAAACAAUUCUUAUCUGAAUCUGGUGCCCUUGAAGCCUGUGAGGCUGAAGUGAAAAGGGUUGUUGAUUUUUUCCGAGGCUUGUGUUCUGGUUGUUUUUUUUUUUUUUUGGAGUUGAGUUAAAGUGUUGGCCAUAAACAGGCUUCCCAGUAAUUUGACAGGUUCAUCCUAACCCCAAAGAAGAUUCUGACACAGACACAAUGAUAUAGUGGGCCUGUUUAUAUUUAUAAAAGCAGUUGAUUGUUUAAAGUAACUGUAACUAAAGUUACUCAGAGCCACUGUAGAAGGUCCAGCCUGAGUUAAGCUGUGGUAGCUGGAGAGGAACUGAGAAACAGCAUCAAAGCUUUUGCUGUUUGCUUGUUCAAGUUGAAUUCAAAUAGGAUAUAUAAAACAUCAGUUAUAUAAUAAUUUUAUGCAUAUUUAACAGUCCUGUUAGCGAUAAAAGGCAGAAUUUACUUUAUCUGGUUGCAUUGAAGCUUCACGUCCCACCAUGAGUUGUCUCUGUCCCACAUGUGGUGAGUUGGGAUCUGCUCAUCCUACUGAAGAAUGAUUCAGUAAUCUGGACUAAUUUCAGAUGUUUUUAUGCUUGGUUUUCUGUGAAUUAGUCUCAUAAUAAUUAAUGAUUAGGGAUCGUCAUAUAAUAAUUAUCUGAUCAGUUCUGUCCGUUCAUUAUAUUUAGCUCUCUUGAACAGUAGAACUGAUAGAAAAUUGCUUACAUUUAGCAAAAAAAAAAAAAAAAAAAAUCACAUAAAAUAUAUUUUUUAAUUAUUCUCAAUAAAAUAAAUGUAUGUAAAGGUCAGAGGUCACUACAACACUCGGUGUAGAAUAGAUGCAAAUCUGCAGCAUGCGAAGACCUGUUUGGGGGGAGUUAAUUUAAUUCUCACGUUUUUCACAGCCUCUGAGUUCGGAGGUAUGAAAAAUAGAUGCAUGUACAUGUUUUUGUUAUGUGCGAGUGGUUUGCAUUUUUGUACCACGAGGCUUUACGUAUUAUUGCUACAGCCUCGCUGUCCUGGAUGUGACGUAACCCGUCAUGAAGUGGAAAACAAAGUGAUGCAGUAUUUAAAAACAGUAUGAGUUUUUAACAGUUGAUUAGUUCUUUGUGAUUGUCUUAAUUUUAUUUUUAGGUCUUAAAAAGUCUUGAAAAAGUCUUAAAUUUAAUUUUGAGAUCCCCACAUAGGAUCUGAGGAAGGAGUCUAAAGCCCUUUUCAGACAGACAUUCUGGAACAUUUGCGGACAAUUCAAUCCGGUUUUUAACCGGAACUGUGUUUUCAGACACACCACUUUUGUACCGGAACUUGUCCUUUCGGCUGCGUUCACACAGCAGGGAAAAGUUCCAGAUGUCUGACGGGGGUGGGGGGGAGAAUCGGACUUAUGUUAAGAAGAAGAAGAAAACAUCAUUUCUAUAGCGCCUCUCAAGAUAAAAAUCACGAGGCGCUUAAGCAUAAUUCUGCGCACACGAAGACGCAUAAGAGACCUGGAUGAUGAAGCUCAAUGGUUAAAGGAAUCACUGAAGCGGUGUGAAGCGCUCAGUCGCGCGUCUAGACGGUACCGUAGGAGGCGAGCUGCCGUGGUUCGCCGCAUGCUACAGGAGCGAGCUAUCUAGGUGAGCACAGCAUCCCCCGGUACCCUCCUCCCCCUCCCUCUUGUCCAGAACUCUUCCUCACCAGUCUGAAGCAGCCACCCUGUCCGUAACAAGUCCGGACCUGUUACUAGGGGCUUCGUCCGGAUAAAUUCCGGAACACGUUAUCCGGAUGUUUGUAUUCAGACAGAAAGGUCUUACGGACAGGUUCUGGAACAUUUCCGUUUUUCAUGGCCUGUCUGAAGGGGGCUUUACUGAAGCAUUUUCCGUUUCUGCUCAUCUUGCAGCUGGAGAUAAUGAUCCUCUAUUCUGUCUUUGUUCAGUAAGUUUCAGUAAGUCCUUUGUGGCGCACUACUUUUGGGACAUGAAAAAUAAAGUUUGUUUUUGUCCUGAUUGCACGAAAUUUGGGCAUUUUUACACCCAGUCAACAAAGUAAAUAAAUCCUGUGGUACACCAGAGGUGGAAGCGCCGCGUUCCACCCGCGAUUUUGAGAUGUCAAGUGGUCACACAGCACGUGCGGCACCGCGCCACUGAGCGCUUAUUGGAAAGUCGCGCGAUAGUCACAACAUCAUGUGGGUCUUGAACAGGAAGCGUGAAGUCACUCUAUUGUUUAUACGUGAUCAGACAUGCUGUUGUGUUUCAUGGGACUCUAACAGUGGGUUAGUACAAUAUUUAUUAAAAUAUUUUAGGAUCAAAAAUCCAAACUGCGGCUGGGUUUGUGCCGGUCCUUAGAUUUGUGCAGUAAACCUGACCACUAUUGGAGACCGGCCUUUAUUUACCCCCCGCUGACUGCGAGGCCAGCUAAUGUAGGAGGCCCGGCCGGUAAUGGGAUACAGGCCAUUAUUAGAGGAUUUAAGGUAUACACCAAUAAUUAUACUAUGGAUUGAAAAAGGCAGUAUUUCAUAUAAACCCAACGUAUAAAGUAUUAUCGUUUGAAUGCUGUACCGGCAUUCAAACUGUAAUACUUGUAAAUAAUAAUAUCAUCUUACUUGGUCUGUAUUCAAUUUUUUCUCACAUCUCAGCCUGGCUGGUCACCACUGGAGAGGUGUAGCUUCCCAGACUCACACUAACAUCCCAUUUUACCUCAGGGCCUCCUGAUCUUCUAACAGAAAAACCUGUUUCUCCAUUCUCGCUCUGCUUUCCACGUGUUUCUCAUCUCUGGAAGCUACCUCCCACAACACUGUGAUGUUAUAUAUAAUUUGUUUUUUACAGGCUAAAUGAACCCAAGUAAUCUGCUGUCAGACUGAUUGUUGCAGCUACAAAUGAUCCAGACUAACAUGAAGCCUUGCAGGUGUAGUAAAGCUUAUUGCUAUACGUGUGUUGCUGCUGUGAGCUUGGAGCUAGAUUACAUUAUGACAUCAUGAAGGAGACUACUGAUUCUGGUCCCGUGACACUUGGUGGUGACGUGUGAGCUGAUUCACCUGAUCUCUAGAAACCACUUUCUCCUUGAAGAGAUCACACUAACCUUCGAUGACUGCGAACCAACAUCCACCCGUCUCCUAUCUGCCUACAACUGUUGUAAUAAAUGUUGUAUGCGUUUAACAAGUUCUUUGUGCUGCCAAAAUGUCUCAUUUUAACUCCAAUUUUGUUUUUAAUGGAUAUUUAUAUAUCAUAUUUAUUAAAUUAUCAUUACUUUGUUGCACAUUUAGCUGGCUCUAUUGUGAUAUAAAUAAGCACUUCAGUGUUAAGAGCUCAUUUUAAAAUUCAAGUAUGUGUUAACAUAUUUAUGGACAAACAAAAACAGUAUAUAUAUAUAUAAAUUGAGAUUGAUCAAUCAAUCAAUCAAAGCUUUAUUUAUAAAGCGCCUUCCGCAACCCUGUCAGGAAGCCCAAGGCGCUGAACAUUUAUUUCAAUAAUCAAUCAAAUAUUAAUGACUGAAGUCCAGAGGAGGGAGGAAUCCUUUAAAAGCACAUUCUUCAGGAAGCUCCUGAUCCUGAUGACAAUAGGAGACCCAGCUGCUGAUACCAGACAAUAACCUACAACCUACAGUCAUCCCACAGUGCAACCAUCUUCUGUGUGUCUUCCAAAGGUCACAAUCCCCAAGCUUUUGUCUUCUGCUGACAAACCCCAACGUUUUUUUUAUUCCUGUUCAUUUAUCAACCAGAAAAGCCAUAUUUAUGACAUAUUCAUUGCCAGAGAACCCAGAAACGCACCAGAAAAUUUACGACCCAUCCCUCUCGAACGGAUUAAGAAGACAAAUGUUCUCCAGGAUUCAGUUCAGUGUGCCCUGUUAAAUGCUCGCUCCAUCUCAAACAAAUCCUUUAUUUUAAACGAGCUGUUCAUCAGCGAAAUGUUGGAAUAUUUAGUUCUUACAGAGACGUGGCAGCAAGAUGGAAAUUAUAUUCACUUCAGUGACAUAUGUCCACCAAAUAGCUCUGUGUUUACCACACCAUGCUCGGCAUGUCGUGGUGGAGGUCUUGCUGUGGUCUUUAAGGACAAACAUGUCUUUAUUCUGGUGAAAAAUGGCCCUUUUACUACUGUUGAUUGCCAGGUCAUCAAAGCAGGGUUACAAAAUAUAUUUCACUGUAUUUUAAUCAUAGGCGUCAUUUUAACCGGGGACAUGUCCCCGGCAAAAUUUGUGAUUGGCAGCUGUGUCCCCCCCACUUUCAAAAACGCCUGCUGAUGAGGAUUUUUGUUUUACCAGCUCAGAUCUUAUACCAGGGGUCGGCAACCUAUUCCCAUCAAAGAGCCAUUAUUACCCGUUUCCCACAGUAAUUUUGGACGGAUCUUAAUAAGCAGUGACUUAAGUGAAGCAGGCAGGUCGCGCUAGAAAUUUUAGUUUAAAAAGAUGUCAUAAAUGUUUUCCCCCGUCAUUUUUAUUUAUAAAAUAUGAAGUAACAACUCACAAUUUAAUUUUCAUUCAUUUGUCAUUAAUAUUUAGUCUACACCCGUGCGUUAAGUGGACCAUCUUCCAGUAAACGCAAAGCAUCCAGCUCACCUCUCCAAAUGCGUAAAAUGUGCAUCAGCCGCUAGUUAGGCGCGCCGUGCGCACCAUCAGCUGAUCAGCCCAGACAAGAGCAGAGCAAAUAGAGAAAGAAUAGAGGAUAAUUGUGUCUGGAUGUGGAUGGAGAUUACAUUUUACAGCAGCCUGAUCAUCAUUUAAAUACGUAACCCAUCACCUGUCUUCUAGUCCACGCUGUCAGCAUUAUUUUAUUUGGUGUGUGUGUGUGUGUGUGUGUGUGUGUGUGUGUGUGUUUUCCACUUCAAACACUGGUCUAACCAACCAGACCAGCGUGUCCAGUAACACAUUAAUGUUACAAUUAAACAGUUUCACUUCAUGUGGGCUAGGAACGUUUCACCUGCCGUGGCCCGACCGCUUCUGCUCCACAUAAACUUUGUGCGUGAUCAAAUGUCUCUACGCAUCAUGCGUCUCCAUAUUAGAGACGGGAACAAGCGCUGUUCAGCCAAAGUUUCAUAAUUUCAUAAAAAGAACAUUUUUCCAAGUGACACAUCCCUCAGAGAGACCGGGUUUCCAGUGGGAGGAAAUCUUAUCGCAUGCGCCGUGGUUCUGCACUGCGCUGCAAACCCCAGAUCUUCAGCUCACUGUCCACCGUGGGCGCUCCGAGCCACGCUGAACACAGUGUCCAGUAUAAAGCUCUGAUGUUCUGAUGGGAAUAUUUUACCUCCGCGAUGUGCGUUAACGAUUAAAAUGUCAGCUCAUCCAUGCGCAUCAGUGUGCGUCGGGGUAAUUCUUUCAAACCAAGCAACAUUCUUGAGUUCAUCUGUCAAAAUAAACAGUCAAAUGGAAAUAUAUGUAACCUGCCGUUUAACUGUUUUGCCUUCCUGUGAAGAUUGUUGCAAAGAGAAACAACUAAACUUGAUUAACCCCAGAGCCACCCAGACAACCAGAGCGCAUGCGGGAAGAUUCCUCCCACUGAAGCGAGUGUUUUCCAAACCCUAUCUCUCAGAGAGACUUGUCACUUAGAAACUGUUCCCUGAUUAUGAAACUUUGGCUGAAUAGUGCUUGUUCCUGUCUCCAAUGUGGCGACACAUCCAGGAGCCAUCUGAGGAGAAUCCCAGAAUCUCACAUCCUCUUCAGCUCAGAAAGCGCAUAUGAUUACGCACAAGCGUGACCCAUCAACCCGGUCUCACAGUAAGACCGGGUUGGACCUGUUCAGGUUUACGCAGACGAUCUUUACAUUUAGAAUUGGCAUACAGAUGUAAAAUUAAUGCAGUAAAAUAUAAAGCAUUUUAUUCAAAUAUCCAUUCAUUAUUUUACAAGCACAGAGAGCCGCAUCAGAUGGAUGGAAGAGCCGCAAGCGGCUCCAGAGCCGCGGGGUGCCAACCCCUGUGCUAGCCUACUUUAUUGUCCCCAGCAAUUUUUAAACCCCACUCAAGUGUAUGGUUAUUGUCCCCAGCAAUUCUGAAAACAAACUGACGCCCUUGAUUUUAAUCUACCGACCUCCUGGUCCAGCUGGCCCUUUUCUCUCUGAAUCUGCAGAAUUUCUAUCAUCAAUGAUCAAACUAGAAAAAGUUUUAAUUCUUGGUGACUUUAACUCAUGCACUAAUGAUCCUACUUGUAGCACAGCAGUAGAGUUCAUGUCUAUUACAGAGUCUUUUAACUUGGAGCAGCACGUUUCAGGCCCCACACACUAAAUGGGACACACUAGAUCUUGUUUUCUCUUUGGGACUAAACAUCAAUCAUUUACAUGUUGAAGAGGUUCAUGUUAGUGACCACAGCUGCAUUUUCUUUAAUGUCCUAUCUAAUGUUGAAUCUGUCCCUCACAACCUAAAAUCAAAGAGACGUAUCAUUAAUCAGUCAGCGGUGGAUGGAUUUUCUAGAUUAUUUGACAGCAGCUCAGUUCAGGGUGAUGACCCAAGCUUGUUUAUGCAAUCUUUGAAAAAGCUAUUUUUGACAUUGUUGAUCACAGCACCUUAAUUAACAGACUUGGUGACUCAGUGGGGAUCUCUGGAACUGUUCUAGACUGGUUUAGAUCAUACUUUUCUAACAGAAGUUACAGUGUCUGUAUAAACCAAAUCAUGUCAGAUUCUACUGAUCUGUUCUGUGGGGUACCCCAAGGGUCUGUUUUGGAUCCACAGUUGUUUCUGCUGUACAUACACCCUCUUGGACAGAUAAUUGAUUCUUUUCAUAAUGUCUCUUAUAGGGAUGGGUACCUUUGACAUUUGAAUCGAUCCGGUACUAAUUCCCGGUACCUAAGAAUCGAUACCGGUACUUAACGGUACCAAUUUUUGAUACUUUUGAGUGUUUAAUAUUUUUAAUUCUCUUUUAUAAUUAAAUAUAUAUUUUUCUCAAUAUCUAACCAUAUUUGAUAAGUAUCACGAUAAAUAACCUACAACUGUUUGUAUUUUAACAUUGUCCUUGUAGUUUUAUAAGCUGAUAAUUAAACUGAAGCAAACAUCUUUACUGUGAACUAAAUUUACUGCGUAUCUUCAUUCCUUUUACCGUCCUUUUUCAUUUGAUUUUUCCUGCUGGGAAGUUAGAAUUUCCGAGGAGAAAGCAAACGCACCAUUAGUUGAUAACAAUGGUGGCAUAGGAAGCUAACAUAUCAAGCUACGUUAUCUUAAACAGUUUAUUUAACUGCUGGAGCAGAUUUAAACGAUGAUGCCUCACACUUAAAUCGUUGUCACUGGUUUCAUCUUCACCCAAUCACCCGUCACAUUUAGUAAAGUGAAGCCAAACUUUAGAGCGCAUUCAUGUUCUUCUAGUUGGAAUUUUGGAGUUCCGAGGAGAAAGCGAACGCACCAUUAGUGAAACGGAAGCUAACAAAUCAAGCUAACGUUAUCCUAAACAUUUUAUUUACCUACCGGAGCAGAUUAAGAUGAGGAUGUCUCACUUAGAUCGUUGUUGCGUUUCAUCAUCACCCAAUUACCCAUCACAUUUAGUGAAGUGGAUCCAAGCUUUAGCUUUCAUUCUUUCUACCCAUGCUGCUCUGUUUACAACUGGCUCGCAGCGACCAAUGACGUAACGCUCUUGCACAUGCACAGCUGUCUAGGCAAGUUCUCGUUGCGAAGGACGGGUACCGAAAUGAGGCACUGUUUCAAAUUAAGUGAAUCGGUGCUUGGUCGGUACCUUAAAAAGUACCGAAUUCUGUACCCAUCCCUAGACUCUCUUAUCACCUAUAUGCAGAUGAUAUUCAGCUGUACUGCUCCUUUCAGGAUUCUGAGUUCUAUAAACUGUCUGAAUUACUUGAGUGUAUUUCAGCUAUCAGCAACUGACUAAAAGAUAACUUCCUCCAGUUAAACUCUGAAAAGACUGAAUGUCUGAUCAAUUCCCCUGAGAGCAUGGUUCCCCUGAUUAGUCUAAAACUUGGUCAUUUGUCCUGUGCUGUCAAGAUGAACUUAAGGAAUUUGGGUGUUUUUGACCAUUCAAUGUCUCUUGAAGGUCACUCAAAAACGUUGGUCCGAAACUGUUUUCAUCAUUUAAGAAAUAUCUCCAAACUGCGAAAGUUGGUGUCAAAACAUGAACUUGAAAUGGUUCUCCAUGCCUUUGUCUCCUCCCAUCUAGAUUAACGUAACACACUCUUGACAUGUUUUAACAUAAAAGCCCUUGACCACCUUAAGUUGGUCCAGAACUCUGCAGCGAGUCACCUAACUGGAGCAAACCGAAGAGCUCACAUCAAUCCUAUUCUAAUGUCUCUGUACUAGUUACCCAUUAACUUUAGAGUUCAUUUUAGAAUCCUGACUAGAAUUUUCAAUGAUCUACAUGUUCAAGCUCUACCCUAUAUUACUGAACUGUUAAAGCCUUAUGCUCCAACCCGAGCCCUCAGAUCCACCCACCAGAACCUUCUCGAUGUUAAAUGUAAAUGAGAACCCAUUACUCUACGAUUUGUCAAAUAAAUUUUUUUUUUAAAUUUCUGACAGGAACUUCUCCUUUGUCCUGACUGCGUUUAUAACCUCUGCAACUUGUUUAGUUUCUUUGCGCUUCAGCAGCCAGUGUCUUGAUCUUGCUAUCAAUAAAGUUUUUCUGAAAAAAACAAUAAACAGGGAAUUCCUUCAUGUGCCAAGGACGUAGCAUGAAGAACUAUGGUUAAUUGAGGGCGUUUCUGUAUGUAAAUGCAUGCACUGAUGCGAGGAUAGUCCCCAACCCUACCUCCCCACCUAGUGGACACAUAUGUUGUGUAAUGUGUGAAGUCUAUUGCAUUUCUGUCUGAGGUGUUUUUUGUAUAGCAAAGCUGCCCUCCCUGUGGAGGGUAACUGAAGUACCUUUUUUUUCCUCCACCUGACCAAACCUCAUGUAAACCCUCUGAUCUCUAUUAAGGUAGCGCAACUCGGGUUGCGAAUGACCACAGUCAUGUGUCUAUGCCUAUGUAUGUAUGUAUGUCUGAUAUCAGAAUUGUGUGUACUAAAACUCUAAUUUCCUUCUGGGAUUAAUAAAGUGUAUUUGAAUUUGAAUUAGAAUUUGAAAUGAUGGCAAACGUACACGAGCACCUGGCUAUGCACAGGUGGGAUUUGUCAUCAGACUAACCCAAUCUCCAUGAGCAUUGUUCUCCCCCAGCUGUUUCUCAAGCGUCUUCCAGUAGACGUCUUUAGCCCGUCUGAUCUUAAGUUUGAGCUACUUCUGGGCCAUAAAAUUCUUUCUCUUAUCGUUCAGCGGGGAUUUCAGCUCAGGGGUCAACCAGGGUUUAAUAUUUGAGAAACACCUCACUCUUUGUGUUGGGAUGGUGUUCUCUACACAGAAAUUAACAUAAUCAGUGACAUAGUGGGUUAGACUGUCAAGGUGUUCACCAUGAGCAUGGCAGAGUUUUUCCAGUCUAUGGUUUGAAGCAAUCCAUCAGCCUUUCUGUUGCUCUCUCAGUCCAUACUUUCAUCAUUUGCUUCUGAGGAGGCGUCUAAUCAUCCUGGGUGUGUAUUCUGGGAUCAGGUGAAUGAGAUUGUUGUCUAAGCCAAGGGUUCUCAAACUUUUAGGGGCCAGGAACUCCUUAUGGAGGUAGAAAUUUUGCAAGGACCCCCUUAUACUCCUCAAGCUGAUAAUAUUUUCCAAACUGCCUUUUGUAUUCCCAGAUACUGUAGAGAUUAAUUUUAUUUCUAAAUUUUCAACAGAAAUACUCAGUUUCAUAGUAAAAUAGACUUUAUAGAAGUCUUCCAAAAACAUAAAUGAAAAGUCUGAAACAAUUUUUUAUAAACCAAUUUUAUUUAAUUAGUUCAAAGACUUUUUUACAGACUUUUAACUAAAUGAACAUGCUGAGUAUUGGCAGAAAACAGGAAAACUGGGUCUCAUCAUAAAUGUUUUGCUUUAGGCUUUCUUACACACAGUUGAUCCAGUCAUCAGUAACACCAAAGACUAGUGAGAAGGAUGACUUGGUCUUUCACCACACAGUUUCUCUGUUCUUGGAGGGUUGGAUCACAAACAGACUCUAAGAUCAUCUUCCACUUGUAAAUGAGCCCUGUACUUAUUUUUCAUCACAUUCAGUGUUGAAAAUUAUGAUUCACAGAAGAAGGUGGUAGGCAGGGGUGGACUGGCCUAUCUGGCAUUCUGGCACUGUCCCGGUGUGCCGCUUGCCUAGCUUGGGCCAACACAAGCUUCCUGAUCACGUGAUGUGUGAUGUAUGCUCUCUCUCUCUCUCUCU